UACGUAGGGUGCAAGCGUUAAUCGGAAUUACUGGGCGUAAAGCGUGCGCAGGCGGCUAUGCAAGACAGAUGUGAAAUCCCCGGGCUCAACCUGGGAACUGCAUUUGUGACUGCAAGGCUGGAGUACGGCAGAGGGGGAUGGAAUUCCGCGUGUAGCAGUGAAAUGCGUAGAUAUGCGGAGGAACACCGAUGGCGAAGGCAAUCCCCUGGGCCUGUACUGACGCUCAUGCACGAAAGCGUGGGGAGCAAACAGG
rnacentral:rRNA from 1 species